GACGAACGCUGGCGGCGUGCUUAACACAUGCAAGUCGAACGGUAAGGCCCUUCGGGGUACACGAGUGGCGAACGGGUGAGUAACACGUGGGUGAUCUGCCCUGCACUUCGGGAUAAGCCUGGGAAACUGGGUCUAAUACCGGAUAGGACCACUGCCUGCAUGGGUGGUGGUGGAAAGCUUUUGCGGUGUGGGAUGGGCCCGCGGCCUAUCAGCUUGUUGGUGGGGUGAUGGCCUACCAAGGCGACGACGGGUAGCCGGCCUGAGAGGGUGACCGGCCACACUGGGACUGAGAUACAGCCCAGACUCCUACGGGAGGCAGCAGUGGGGAAUAUUGCACAAUGGGCGCAAGCCUGAUGGAGCGACGCCGCGUGAGGGAUGACGGCCUUCGGGUUGUAAACCUCUUUCAGCACAGACGAAGCGCAAGUGACGGUAUGUGCAGAAGAAGGACCGGCCAACUACGUGCCAGCCGCCGCCGUAA
rnacentral:rRNA from 1 species